ACCUCAAGGACCCAGGCCCCACAUUAGGAAAUCCAGCCCCUAUGCCUUGAAGCUGCAGGAUGCUUUCUUACCCAAACCCCAUGUCAAAGCCCCACCAGCUGCCCAUAGCAUUUCAAGUGUUGCACAAAGUUACCACAAGAUGUUCUAUGUAGAUAACCCUAACAGGCCCCCUACCACAAAAUGUUCCUUUCAGACAGCCCUACCAGCUAAACUUGAGAACUAAGUUUAAAAACAGGAACCAAGAAGGGCAAGGUGUAACUUUAGGGUUUUUCCAAGAACAAAAAGUCGAAAAACAAGUUUACCCACUAGGUGACCCCCCUGCUGGAUUCAGAGGAACCAAUAGAAGGGCUGUUGCUGUGCUAAGCUAAGAACUAACCCACUUGUACCCUAUAAAAGAUCUGUAUCCCAAAGCCCGGUGUGCCAGUUCACCGAAGCUCCGGCUGAGGUUUCGCUGAGCACCCGCAGGCGCCUGUGUGACAAUAAAUGCCUCCUGCUUUUUGCAGCCAGUGUCUCGUGUGGUUCGUUCCGGGUUUGGGAUCUGUGGAUCUUUCAUUUUGGAGGUUCCACCGAGAUUCCCGAUCCCGGUUCCGAUCCCGAUCCCUAUCCGGAGAACACUCGACAUCACUGGGAGACUCAUUUGCAUGCUUUGCAAUUGGUCCAGAACGAGGUCUGGAAGCCUCUAGCCACAGCAUACAAAGAGGAACUUAAAACCCCCUUGCUGCCACAUCCCUUCAAAGUUGGAGACACCGUCUGGGUACGCAGGCACCAGAGCAAGAACCUCGAAUCGCGGUGGAAAGGACCCUACACCAUUCUGCUGACCACUCCCACUGCAGUCAAAGUGGACGGCAUCACCGCUUGGAUCCACGCCUCCCACGUGAAAGCUGCACAUCCACAGGAGUCCGCAGGCACCUCUCCGGAUCCAGAAUGAAAGUUGCAACGCACUCAAAAUCCACUAAAGAUAAGACUCACACGCUGUUGAUUUUCCUUGCUUUGUGCUUUGUAUUUCCCCUAACGGUUGCUAACCAAACUGUGAGCCAGACAUGGCAAAUAUUAUCGGGGACAGGAGAUAUAAUUUAAAACCAAACAUCCACAAAAUACCCCCUUUGGGCUUGGUAACCUGCUCUAAGGCCUGAUCUUUGUUACCUGCUGGCUAAGGCAAAGGACUUUGAUGACCCCAGUGAGGCAGAAGCAUGCAUCUACAGUGGACGCUGCACCUGCGUAGAACAUCCCACAGGAUGUAAAGCAGCUCUAAGGGAGACACCCUUCUACAUAUGCCCUAGGGAUGAAAAAAACCCAGUCACAGGUACAAAAAUGUGGACAACAUGAAAGUUACUAUUGUAAAUCUUGGGGAUAUAAAACUACGAGGGAUAUAUGAUGGAAGCCAGGUUCAUCUGGGGAUUUAAUACAAGUAAAAAAGAAAAGGGACAAGAGCCCCCACUAUCUUCCGACUCCUGUAGGAGCCUAAAAUGGUACGGGGCAGGGCCAUGCUCCGCGUUUGCCUGCAACCCCUUAAACAUUACCUUUACUCAGGCAGGCAAGGCAUCAAAGGAAUGGAUAAAAAAAAACAA